UCGUGCUAGGCGGGGAACUAGCGGUGCCCUGCACCCGCAAUCCGCUACAGCGGGGCUGAAUUCCCGGUCGAGGUCGUUGGCCUCCGCCUACCACUCCACCGCCCGACGUCGAGAGUCGGGUCCCACGCAGCGAAGGUCCGCGAACCCCGUCAGGUCCGGAAGGAAGCAGCGGUAAGCGAUCGCCCUCGGGUGCCGUGGGGCGACCUGGCUGGAGCCGGGCGGUGUGGCGCGUGCGGGGUUCGACCGAUCGACAUCGGGUGCACGA
rnacentral:SRP_RNA from 1 species